rnacentral:rRNA from 1 species
CAGCGCCACGAGUGGCAAUCGCGAUUAUUGGGCCUAAAGCGUCCGUAGCCGGUUCGGUAAAUCCUUUGUGAAAUCGCCAAGCUUAACUUGGCGGCGUGCAGAGGACACUGCCGAACUCGAGACCGGGAGGAGUUAGAAGUAUUUUUGGGGGAGCGGUAAAAUGCUAUAAUCCCAGAAAGACUACCGAUGGCGAAGGCAUCUAACUAGAACGGAUCUGACGGUGAGGGACGAAAGCCAGGGGAGCGAACCGGAUUAGAUACCCGAGUAGUCC